CUGAUGUUUUAUUUUAUUUUUUUUCUGUGAUGUAAACUAUGAUUGAAUGAAUUGGCAUUCCAGGAGAGACACUUGAAGAGAUUUCGUAUUUUCUUAUGUCAACAUAUUCACAAAUAGAGAAAGAACAGAUGAUUUGUCCCGAACAUGAUUCUUACAAACAAAUAUUCUUCAAAGUUUUUUAUAAACUUUUGACUAACCCAGUAAACACUUUUUUCAGCAAAAUGUGGUAGUUCUAGAUCCUGGUUAAAAUUCUAGGAUAUGAACAGGGAUCUAAUUUACAAAGAGUAGGAUCAUUAGAUUUAGAUGGUACACACUUUAUCCUCUUCCAGAUUCAAUGUCAUUCAGUGUUGCAUUACGAUCCNGUGAUAAAGAUAGCCCCAUAUACCCAUGGCAACCUUCUUGACCCUUCUGACUCUCAGCCUGAACCUCUGUUAACUGUGCAUGACCAGAAUUUGGAACAUUAGGAACUUGGGUCAUUUGUCGUGAU
rnacentral:lncRNA from 1 species